AGAGUCUCUGUUUCACAGAAAGAAUGGCUUUCCGAAAAUAUCUGCGGUUCUACUCAGUCCUCAGAAUUUAUUUUUACUGGAAACUUUUGAAUUAGCUUAAGGAAUGAGAUGAAUGAAUAAGAAGUGUGCUACAGAGCUAUGCUUGAACCAUCCUGCUUCUGAUGAAUGUUUUGUAGAGCUGGUCCUUGAUAGGAAUCCCUGAAUGGCUCCAGGCCCUUUCACUUGGAGCAGUACCGCCUCUAGCACUGCUGUGCACAGUUGCAUGUGAUUUUAGAGGAAAUAAAAU
ensembl:lncRNA